GAUGAACGCUGGCGGCGUGCCUAAUACAUGCAAGUCGAGCGAACGGACGAGAAGCUUGCUUCUCUGAUGUUAGCGGCGGACGGGUGAGUAACACGUGGAUAACCUACCUAUAAGACUGGGAUAACUUCGGGAAACCGGAUCUAAUACCGUAUGAUAUUUUGAACCGCAUGGUUCAAAAGUGAAAGACGGUCUUUCUGUCACUUAUAGAUGGAUCCGCGCUGCAUUAGCUAGUUGGUAAGGUAACGGCUUACCAAGGCAACGAUGCAUAGCCGACCUGAGAGGGUGAUCGGCCACACUGGAACUGAGACACGGUCCAGACGCCUAAGGGAGGCAGCAGUAGGGAAUCUUCCGCAAUGGGCGAAAGCAUGACGGAGCAACGCCGCGUGAGUGAUGAAGGUCUUCGGAUCGUAAAACUCGGUUAUUAGGGAAGAACAUAUGUGUAAGUAACUGUGCACAGAUUGACGGUACCUAAUAAGAAAGCAACGGCUAACUACGUG
rnacentral:rRNA from 1 species